rnacentral:rRNA from 1 species
UACAGAGGGUGCGAGCGUUAAUCGGAAUUACUGGGCGUAAAGCGCGCGUAGGCGGCUUUGCAAGUCGGGUGUGAAAUCCCCAGGCUUAACCUGGGAACUGCAUUCGAGACUGCAUUGCUAGAGUAUGGGAGAGGGAAGUGGAAUUUCCGGUGUAGCGGUGAAAUGCGUAGAUAUCGGAAGGAACACCUGUGGCGAAAGCGGCUCACUGGACCACAACUGACGCUGAGGCACGAAAGCUAGGGGAGCAAACAGG